UACGUAGGGUCCGAGCGUUGUCCGGAAUUAUUGGGCGUAAAGAGCUCGUAGGUGGCCUGUCGCGUCGGCUGUGAAAACUCGGGGCUCAACUCCGAGCUUGCAGUCGAUACGGGCAGGCUAGAGUUCGGCAGGGGAGACUGGAAUUCCUGGUGUAGCGGUGAAAUGCGCAGAUAUCAGGAGGAACACCGGUGGCGAAGGCGGUUCUCUGGGCAUGUCCUGACGCUGAGGAGCGAAAGUGUGGGGAGCGAACAGG
rnacentral:rRNA from 1 species